AAGUACAUCUUCGGCUGCACUUCGGGUUUGACUUUCGUUCGGUGUGGAUCGACAACGCUUGUGAUUUUUGACGCGUGUGUUUUCUCGGGACCAGAGAAAAAGUGAGAAGUAUUUUUUCAACCGCAUAAAAAUCUGCGUUUUAUCGCUGUAUGUGCUUAAAACCCGGUGAAAUUCAGUAGUUGAGAUUCUCCGGAUCGUAAAUAUAGCAGGUGAAGUGUCGAUUUCGUUCGAUUUGGCAGAAUUUUUCCUGUUUUCCCCAAAAGCCGACAACCCGUAAUCAUGAGUGAAAAGGAGCACCAACAAAAUGGCGAUCACCAGAACGGAGAUGAGGAAAUCCGCGAGCCGGAACAUCUGCGGAAACUGUUCAUCGGCGGACUGGACUACCGUACCACCGACGAAACCCUGAAGGCCUACUUUGAAAAGUGGGGCAAAGUAGUGGACGUGGUCGUCAUGAAGGACCCCAAGACCAAGCGUAGCCGCGGGUUCGGUUUCAUCACGUACUCGAAGCCGUACAUGGUGGACGAAGCACAGAACAAGCGGCCGCACAAAAUCGAUGGCCGUGUGGUGGAACCGAAGCGGGCCGUUCCCCGACAGGACAUCAACCGUCCAGAGGCUGGUGCCUCCGUCAAGAAGCUGUUCGUUGGAGGACUGCGGGAUGAUUUCGACGAGGAGCACCUGCGCGACUACUUCGGUGCCUUUGGCAAUGUUAUUUCGGCUUGCAUUGUUACCGAUAAGGAGAAUGGCAAGAAGCGUGGUUUUGGAUUCGUUGAGUUUGACGACUAUGAUCCAGUGGACAAGAUCAUCCUACAAAAGAGCCACACCAUCCAGAACAAGAUGUUGGAUGUGAAGAAAGCGUUGCCCAAGCAGGAAAUGGAUCGGUACAAGACCGAUGCUGGCCGUGGAGGUGGUGCCGGUGGCGCCUGGGGUAGCCAGCAGCGCGGUGGAGGUCCGUCUCAAGGAUGGGGACAAGGCGGUGGCCGCGGAGCUGGUGGCUGGGGACAAAGCCAACGUGGUGGCCAAAAUGAAUGGGGCAGUGGCGGAUACCAGCAGCAGGGUGGAUUCAAUAACGGCGGCUACGGUAAUGGUGGCGGUUACAAUCAAGGAGGAAACUGGGGCGGACAAGGAGGAAACCCGUGGGACCAAAGCUGUGGCCAGCAGGGAGGCUGGGGCAAUCAGAGCGGCGGUUGGGGCCAAGGUGGCGGUAGCUUUGGAAAUGAGUUUGGCAAUAACUACCAACAGGGAUACAGUGCCGGUCCAAUGCGCACGGGUGGAUACCAGAAUCAACGGUCGGCACCAUACGGUAUGGAGUCGUACGACGGUAAUCAAGGUGGCUUCGGAGGAAGCGGUGGCGGCUACGGAAACGCUGGAGGCAACCGUCGGUAUUAAAUGAUUACCGAAAUACAAGCUAAAUGAGAGAGGCUGGGACGCACGCUCUAUUGUAGAAGGUUUUGCAAAGAACAGUGAGACAGAUUACAGGUCAGAAUCAGUCGAAUAGAGAGAAAAAUGAAGGUCAAAUAGGCGUGUGAGAAAUGAGAGGAAGAAGCCAAAAGAGGAAGGAGUAUGAAGAGAGUGCAGGAAGGAGAAGGACAAAGCAUUCGUAUUUGUUUUAUUAAGCUAACCAAGGAAGAGGAAACACAACCAGAAACACAAGUAUAUAGACAAAUCAUUCAACAGGAAGACGCAGACAGCAGCAGGAGGAUGAGAAGUGAUUUUUAUUGACAGAAGCAGAAGAAUCUUUAGUGAGAAGGAGAAUCCUUGAGGGUGUGAGAAGAAUUGGAGCAAAGAAGAGGAAGAAGAAGCAACCAGCAGCCAGGAUAAGAAACCAGUGUAAGAUGAAAUUGCAUAACCAUCUCAAAAGUACAAUCAGCGCGCAAAGACUACAACAGCAGAGCGAUAUAGUAAGAGCAGGUUAAUUUCUUGGGCUGAUGAUUAUAUCCCAUCAUACAUCUUCGUCGGCGUUCCUCACCCCCUCUAGGCUCACUUUCUGAGCUACCAGCCCAAGUCCAAGAAGAAUAUUAAGAAGGUUCUUCAUAUAACAAUAGAUCUCCGACCCCUUUUUAUCCUACUUAUAUUAGGAUAUGCGGGCAGCAAUUUUCCCUCUCACGCAAUUUUCUUCGUGUGCAAGAAUUUAUUGUUUUCAUUUUUUAUUGUAAUGCAGUAGUAAAACAUGCAGAAAAACAUUAAGCGAAAUCUAGUUCUAGAGAUAUUUAAUUUAAGAAUCAGUUGUAAGAGAAAUGUAUCUUUUCUCGCAAUAUACACAACACAUAAUAUUGAUUAUUAUAACAGAAAACAAAACAUAGUAAAGGAAUGCCUAGGUAAGCAAACAAACUCGUAAAAAUCGUCCAUCAAAGAGAAUAUACAAACACUUUAAAACAUACACAAACUAAAGAACUAAUUAGAUUGAGACUAGCGAAAAUCGACAGAUGGUAGUGCAGAACAUUUACCGAGGGAGGGAUAUCCGAGGGUUGGCUGAGAGCUUUAUCAUCUGUACAUAUUUUCGGAAUUCUCUUUCGAGCUUUAUAGUUUGAAUUUCCAUUUUCUCUGAAGUGAAAUUUCACCAGAAUUUUUCAUUUAUUUGCUGGUAAUAAUUCUAAAACCUUUACCGUGGGUUUCGAUUUACUUGUCUCUUUUCUUUCGUUAGAUUUUUAUUAAUUUAUUAUUCAGUUUGACUGAUAAUUUUUACCACGUUUUGUUCCUCUUCGCUUUCCCUGCUUCGUAGUCAGAAAAAAAAAAACAAAUUCAAUCAAUACAUGAGAUAGAAGUUACAAGCUGAGUAAAACAUUACCAAAUUUCCUCCGUUUGAGAGUCUCGUUGCGAGAAGGAUUCCUAGAAUUAGAGCAGUCAUGUGGAGUAGCUAAAAUAAAACAGUAAAGGAAACUGAACAAAAAAUAUCUGUACUAACAAGUAGAUGAGCAACUUAAGAUUUAAUCAACUAAAUGUUCAAAUCAAAUAAUUUUCAAGAUAGUAAAGGAAACAAGAAAGUAUAGUAAGAGAACAAAAACUCAAA